GCUUGCAUCAUGAUUUACAUUUGAGUGAGUGGCGAACUGGUGAGUAACACGUGGGAAACCUGCCCAGAAGCGGGGGAUAACACCUGGAAACAGAUGCUAAUACCGCAUAACAACUUGGACCGCAUGGUCCGAGCUUGAAAGAUGGCUUCGGCUAUCACUUUUGGAUGGUCCCGCGGCGUAUUAGCUAGAUGGUGGGGUAACGGCUCACCAUGGCAAUGAUACGUAGCCGACCUGAGAGGGUAAUCGGCCACAUUGGGACUGAGACACGGCCCAAACUCCUACGGGAGGCAGCAGUAGGGAAUCUUCCACAAUGGACGAAAGUCUGAUGGAGCAACGCCGCGUGAGUGAAGAAGGGUUUCGGCUCGUAAAACUCUGUUGUUAAAGAAGAACAUAUCUGAGAGUAACUGUUCAGGUAUUGACGGUAUUUAACCAGAAAGCCACGGCUAACUACGUGCCAGCAGCCGCGGUAAUACGUAGGUGGCAAGCGUUGUCCGGAUUUAUUGGGCGUAAAGCGAGCGCAGGCGGUUUUUUAAGUCUGAUGUGAAAGCCUUCGGCUCAACCGAAGAAGUGCAUCGGAAACUGGGAAACUUGAGUGCAGAAGAGGACAGUGGAACUCCAUGUGUAGCGGUGAAAUGCGUAGAUAUAUGGAAGAACACCAGUGGCGAAGGCGGCUGUCUGGUCUGUAACUGACGCUGAGGCUCGAAAGUAUGGGUAGCAAACAGGAUUAGAUACCCUGGUAGUCCAUACCGUAAACGAUGAAUGCUAAGUGUUGGAGGGUUUCCGCCCUUCAGUGCUGCAGCUAACGCAUUAAGCAUUCCGCCUGGGGAGUACGGCCGCAAGGCUGAAACUCAAAGGAAUUGACGGGGGCCCGCACAAGCGGUGGAGCAUGUGGUUUAAUUCGAAGCUACGCGAAGAACCUUACCAGGUCUUGACAUACUAUGCAAAUCUAAGAGAUUAGACGUUCCCUUCGGGGACAUGGAUACAGGUGGUGCAUGGUUGUCGUCAGCUCGUGUCGUGAGAUGUUGGGUUAAGUCCCGCAACGAGCGCAACCCUUAUUAUCAGUUGCCAGCAUUAAGUUGGGCACUCUGGUGAGACUGCCGGUGACAAACCGGAGGAAGGUGGGGAUGACGUCAAAUCAUCAUGCCCCUUAUGACCUGGGCUACACACGUGCUACAAUGGAUGGUACAACGAGUUGCGAACUCGCGAGAGUAAGCUAAUCUCUUAAAGCCAUUCUCAGUUCGGAUUGUAGGCUGCAACUCGCCUACAUGAAGUCGGAAUCGCUAGUAAUCGCGGAUCAGCAUGCCGCGGUGAAUACGUUCCCGGGCCUUGUACACACCGCCCGUCACACCAUGAGAGUUUGUAACACCCAAAAGUC
rnacentral:rRNA from 1 species